rnacentral:rRNA from 1 species
GACGAACGCUGGCGGCGUGCUUAACACAUGCAAGUCGAACGGAAAGGCCCUGCUUUUGUGGGGUGCUCGAGUGGCGAACGGGUGAGUAACACGUGAGUAACCUGCCCUUGACUUUGGGAUAACUUCAGGAAACUGGGGCUAAUACCGGGUAGGAGCUCCUGCUGCACGGUGGGGGUUGGAAAAUUUCGGCGGUUGUGGCUGGACUCGCAGCUUAUCCGCUUGUUGGUGGGGUAGUGGCUUACCAAGGCUGUGACGGGUAGCCGGCCUGAGAGGGUGACCAGCCACAUGGGGACUGAGAUAGGCCCCAGACUGCUACGGGAGGCAGCGGUGGGAAAUAUUGCACAAUGGGCGGAAGCCUGUUGCAGCAACGCCGCGUGCGGGAUGACGGCCUACGGGUUGUAAACCGCUUUCGCCUGUGACGAAGCGGGAGUGACGGUAAUUGGUAAAGAAGCACCGGCUAACUACGUG